rnacentral:rRNA from 1 species
AGUGAACGCUGGCGGUAGGCCUAACACAUGCAAGUCGAACGGCAGCACAGUAAGAGCUUGCUCUUACGAGUGGCGAGUGGCGGACGGGUGAGGAAUACAUCGGAAUCUACUUUUUCGUGGGGGAUAACGUAGGGAAACUUACGCUAAUACCGCAUACGACCUACGGGUGAAAGCAGGGGAUCUUCGGACCUUGCGCGAUUGAAUGAGCCGAUGUCGGAUUAGCUAGUUGGCGGGGUAAAGGCCCACCAAGGCGACGAUCCGUAGCUGGUCUGAGAGGAUGAUCAGCCACACUGGAACUGAGACACGGUCCAGACGCCUACGGGAGGCAGCAGUGGGGAAUAUUGGACAAUGGGCGCAAGCCUGAUCCAGCCAUACCGCGUGGGUGAAGAAGGCCUUCGGGUUGUAAAGCCCUUUUGUUGGGAAAGAAAAGCAGCAGGUUAAUACCCCGCUGUUCUGACGGUACCCAAAGAAUAAGCACCGGCUAACUUCGUG